UGUCUAGUAUAGCAUUAUACAGCGAAACUGCGAAUGGCUCAUUAUAUAAGUUAUCGUUUAUUUGAUAGUACCUUACUACUUGGAUAACCGUGGUAAUUCUAGAGCUAAUACAUGCUAAAAAUCCCGACUUCGGAAGGGAUGUAUUUAUUAGAUUAAAAACCAAUGCCCUCUGGGCUCUCUGGUGAUUCAUGAUAACUUCUCGAAUCGCAUGGCCUUGCGCCGGCGAUGGUUCAUUCAAAUUUCUUCCCUAUCAACUUUCGAUGUUUGGGUAGUGGCCAAACAUGGUUGCAACGGGUAACGGAGGGUUAGGGCUCGACCCCGGAGAAGGAGCCUGAGAAACGGCUACUACAUCCAAGGAAGGCAGCAGGCGCGCAAAUUACCCAAUCCCGACACGGGGAGGUAGUGACAAUAAAUACUGAUACAGGGCUCUUUUGGGUCUUGUAAUUGGAAUGAGUACAAUUUAAAUCCCUUAACGAGGAACAAUUGGAGGGCAAGUCUGUCACACAGCAGCCCGACUUGCCUUCAUUUGUUCUCGUAGAAGGG
rnacentral:rRNA from 1 species